UAUCUUAGCACUUAGUAUUUUGCUAUGUGAACUGUGGUCUUUUUUGCCAACAAUGUGUACAGCUAUUUAACUGUUGGUAUUUGUGGUAAAUACUACCGUGAACCUGUGAUGGCUUAUAUACUUAUUAUUAUCAUCGCUGUUGGUUCUUAUAUUACCUGACCUUGUGAGCUCUAUUAUGCGACCUGUGAUGGCUUAUAUACUUAUUAUUAUCAUCGCUGUUGGUUCUUAUAUUACCUGACCUUGUGAGCUCUAUUAUGCGACCUGUGAUGGCUUAUAUACUUAUCAUCGCUGUUGGGGCUUGUGAAGGAUAACGGCAGACAAGGAUAACUGGAUGCGGAUAACUGAAGACAAGGAUAACUGGAUGAAGGAUAACUUGAGACGGAUAAGUUGGAUGUAGGAUAACAAACAAGGAUAACUAGACCUGAGCUGAGAGCAUUUUGCAUUGUUUUUUGGCCUGUUUUGCUCUAAGCCCGCCAAAAGCUUAGACGCUAGUUUUAUUAAACGAUAGAUAGAAAAAACUUGGUAUACGAAAAUUACAAAAUGCGUGAAAUUGUUUAGAAAGAUAACAGAAAGUUUAUGGCCAGAACCCUAAACAACCGGGCUACCAGCAUCUGCAUCUCUGAUUCAGAGAUAGGCAAAUCCACUACGAUUAUGUUUCAGGAGGCAAAACCGACUUUCGCUUGGUCAAUAGGAACGGUGAUGGGACUACCACUACGAUUAUGUUUCAGGAGGACUCCCACUUAUCCUUCUAAGUUUACCAGAUUUAUCCUUGUGUAGGACACAGCCUUAUCCUUUCGUAGGUUGGGAGAUUUAUCCUUGUCUAGUUACCCAAAUUAUCCUUCUAAGUUUACAAGAUUUAUCCUUCACGAGGACCUCUACUUAUCCUUCUAAGUUACUAGAUUUAUCCUUUUGUAGGACACAGACUUAUCCUUGGGUUGGUUGGAAGAUUUAUCCUUCCUUAGUGACCCGAAUUAUCCUUCGUCGACAGAGUUGGAAGAUUACUAUAUUUAUCCUUCUGCAGUCAUUGAAAUUAUCCUUCUGUACGACUCCAACUUAUCCUUCUGUAGGACUCCCACUUAUUCCUUUCCUAGCACACAGACUUAUCCUUGCGUAGAUUAUUAGAUUUAGCCUUCUGCAGUGGCCCGAAUUAUCCUUCUUCGUCAUAGUUGGAAAUUUACUACGAUUAUCUUUCAGGAGGACUCCCACUUAUCCUUCUAAGUUACUAGAUUUAUCCUUGUGUAGGACACAGAUUUAUCCUUCCGUAGGUUGGGAGAUUUAUCCUUGUCUAGUUACCCAGAUUAUCCUUCUAAGUUUACAAGAGUUAUCCUUCACCAGGACCUCCACUUAUCCUUCUAAGUUACUAGAUUUAUCCUUGUGUAGGACACAGACUUAUCCUUCCUUAGGUUGGGAGAUUUAUCCUUGUCUAGUUACUCAGAUUAUCCUUCUAAGUUUACAAGAGUUAUCCUUCACCAGGACCUCCACUUAUCCUUCUAAGUUACUAGAUUUAUCCUUUUGUAGGACAGAGACUUAUCCUUCCGUAGGUUGGGAGAUUUAUCCUUGUCUAGUUACCCAGAUUAUCCUUCUAAGUUUACAAGAGUUAUCCUUCACCAGGACCUCCACUUAUCCUUCUAAGUUACUAGAUUUAUCCUUUUGUAGGACACAGACUUAUCCUUCCGUAGGUUGGGAGAUUUAUCCUUGUCUAGUUACCCAGAUUAUCCUUCUAAGUUUACAAGAGUUAUCCUUCAUCAGGACCUCCACUUAUCCUUCUAAGUUACUAGAUUUAUCCUUUUGUAGGACAGAGACUUAUCCUUCCGUAGGUUGGGAGAUUUAUCCUUGUCUAGUUACCCAGAUUAUCCUUCUAAGUUUACAAGAGUUAUCCUUCACCAGGACCUCCACUUAUCCUUCUAAGUUACUAGAUUUAUCCUUUUGUAGGACACAGACUUAUCCUUCCGUAGGUUGGGAGAUUUAUCCUUGUCUAGUUACCCAGAUUAUCCUUCUAAGUUUACAAGAGUUGUCCUUCACCAGGACCUCCACUUAUCCUUCUAAGUUACUAGAUUUAUCCUUGUGUAGGACACAGACUUAUCCUUCCGUAGGUUGGGAGAUUUAUCCUUGUCUAGUUACCCAGAUUAUCCUUCUAAGUUUACAAGAGUUAUCCUUCACCAGGACCUCCACUUAUCCUUCUAAGUUAUUAGAUUUAUCCUUGUGUAGGACACAGACUUAUCCUUCCGUAGGUUGGGAGAUUUAUCCUUGUCUAGUUACCCAGAUUAUCCUUCUAAGUUUACAAGAGUUAUCCUUCACCAGGACCUCCACUUAUCCUUCUAAGUUACUAGAUUUAUCCUUGUGUAGGACACAGACUUAUCCUUCCGUAGGUUGGGAGAUUUAUCCUUGUCUAGUUACCCAGAUUAUCCUUCUAAGUUUACAAGAGUUGUCCUUCACCAGGACCUCCACUUAUCCUUCUAAGUUACUAGAUUUAUCCUUGUGUAGGACACAGACUUAUCCUUCCGUAGGUUGGGAGAUUUAUCCUUGUCUAGUUACCCAGAUUAUCCUUCUAAGUUUACAAGAGUUGUCCUUCACCAGGACCUCCACUUAUCCUUCUAAGUUACUAGAUUUAUCCUUGUGUAGGACACAGACUUAUCCUUCCGUAGGUUGGGAGAUUUAUCCUUGUCUAGUUACCCAGAUUAUCCUUCUAAGUUUACAAGAGUUAUCCUUCACCAGGACCUCCACUUAUCCUUCUAAGUUAUUAGAUUUAUCCUUGUGUAGGACACAGACUUAUCCUUCCGUAGGUUGGGAGAUUUAUCCUUGUCUAGUUACCCAGAUUAUCCUUCUAAGUUUACAAGAGUUAUCCUUCACCAGGACCUCCACUUAUCCUUCUAAGUUACUAGAUUUAUCCUUUUGUAGGACAGAGACUUAUCCUUCCGUAGGUUGGGAGAUUUAUCCUUGUCUAGUUACCUAGAUUAUCCUUCUAAGUUUACAAGAGUUAUCCUUCACCAGGACCUCCACUUAUCCUUCUAAGUUACUAGAUUUAUCCUUUUGUAGGACACAGACUUAUCCUUCCGUAGGUUGGGAGAUUUAUCCUUGUCUAGUUACCCAGAUUAUCCUUCUAAGUUUACAAGAGUUGUCCUUCACCAGGACCUCCACUUAUCCUUCUAAGUUACUAGAUUUAUCCUUGUGUAGGACACAGACUUAUCCAUCCGUAGGUUGGGAGAUUUAUCCUUGUCUAGUUACCCAGAUUAUCCUUCUAUGUUUACAAGAGUUAUCCUUCACCAGGACCUCCACUUAUCCUUCUAAGUUACUAGAUUUAUCCUUUUGUAGGACAGAGACUUAUCAUUGAAGGAUUCUCUAAGAUAGCCCGACCCAUGACGGAACUACUCAAGAAGGAGAAGAAGUUUACUUGGACUGAGGCUUGUGAGAGAAGCUUCCAGGAACUAAAAAGAAGACUGACCACUGCCCCAGUACUGACAUUACCCGAUAUUCAACGGGACUUCAUCAUUUAUUGUGAUGCAUCCCGCCAAGGACUAGGAUGCGUCCUCAUGCAGGAUGGAAAAGUAGUGGCUUAUGCUUCCCGACAGUUUAAGCCUCACGAGUAGAAUUAUCCAACCCAUGAUUUGGAAUUUGCAGCUGUAGUGCAUGCACUUAAAAUUUGGAGACACUACUUGAUCGGCAAUAAAUGUGAGAUUUAUACGGACCAUAAGAGCCUGAAAUACAUCUUCACCCAAUCAGAUUUGAACUUAAGGCAAAGGAGGUGGUUAGAACUGGUCAAGGAUUAUAAUGUGGAAAUACAUUACCACCCUGGUAAAGCUAAUGUGGUAGCAGAUGCCUUAAGCCAAAAGCCCUUUGAGCCUAAGGAUGCCCAUCUACAGGAAGAAAUGGCACGAUUGAAUGUGCACAUCAUCCCUCAAAGUUCCAGCCAUAAGCUGAGUGUUCGACCCACUCUGGAGGAUCAUAUCAGAAAAGCCCAAAGUUCGGAUAAGGAUCUAAUGAAAAUCCGAACAUAUACUGGAGAAGAUAAAGCACCGGACUUUAGAGUGGACGAUAAGGAUACCCUAUGGCAUAAAGAUAGAAUAUGCGUACCAAAGGAAGGAGACUUCUGACAGAUCAUCAUGAACGAAGCACAUAACUCAGCAUAUUCCAUCCACCCAGGAUCUACCAAGAUGUAUAUGGAUAUAAAGCAGAAAUAUUGGUGGAAUGGGAUGAAAGCCGACAUUGCGCAGUUUGUCGCUCAUUGAGAUACUUGUCAAAGGAUUAAAGCGGAACAUCGGAAGCUAGCUGGAUUAUUACAACCUCUACCCAUCCCAGUGUG
rnacentral:lncRNA from 1 species